rnacentral:misc_RNA from 1 species
UCCGGUUUAUCACCGGCAGUCCCCUUAGAGUGCGCCGCUUUCGCGACUAGCAACUAAGGGCAAGGGUUGCGCUCGUUACGGGACUUAACCCAACAUCUCACGACACGAGCUGACGACAACCAUGCACCACCUGUGCACGGCCCUUACGGACCCCGCAUCUCUGCGAGAUUUCCGUGCAUGUCAAGCCUAGGUAAGGUUCUUCGCGUUGCAUCGAAUUAAGCAACAUGCUCCGCCGCUUGUGCGGGCCCCCGUCAAUUCCUUUGAGUUUUAGCCUUGCGGCCGUACUCCCCAGGCGGGACACUUAACGCGUUAGCUGCGGCACAGAGGGAUUCGACUCCCCCCACACCUAGUGUCCAUCGUUUACAGCUAGGACUAC